AGCAGCCGCGGUAAUUCCAGCUCCAAUAGCGUAUAUUAAAGUUGUUGCAGUUAAAAAGCUCGUAGUUGAAUUUCGGGAUCAAUAUAUCGGUCGUGCCUUGGUACGUACUGGUAUCAUUGGUCUCUCCUUUCUGACGAACCAUGAUGUCAUUAAUUUGGUGUUAUGGGAAGUUAGGACUGUUACUUUGAAAAAAUUAGAGUGUUUAAAGCAGGCUUUGGCUUGAAUACAUUAGCAUGGAAUAAUGAAAUAGGACGUUCGAACCUAUUUUGUUGGUUUCUAGGAUCAACGUAAUGAUUAAUAGGGAUAGUUGGGGGCAUUAGUAUUCAAUUGUCAGAGGUGAAAUUCUUGGAUUUAUUGAAGACUAACUACUGCGAAAGCAUUUGCCAAGGAUGUUUUCAUUAAUCAAGAACGAAAGUUAGGGGAUCGAAGACGAUCAGAUACCGUCGUAGUCUUAACCAUAAACUAUGCCGACUAGGGAUCGGAUGAUGUUAAUUUUUUCAAUGACUCAUUCGGCGCCUUA
rnacentral:misc_RNA from 1 species